UGGUUAGGAUUAGUGUCAGAACUGUAAAGUGUGUUUUCCUGUAAGGUUCACAAAUUCUAAGCUUCUUUACUGAGAACUUAAGAGCGGGAUGUUCGAAAUCACUUCACAUCACGUCUUCGAAUCAUUUACCUUACGUCUUGUGUACGUUUAUAAAAUUUAAAGAUUCGGUAUUUAACUCUAACUGACAUAUAAAAACACGUUUAAGUUAUUGAAAUCGUUAUCAAAAUAAGUGAUGGAUGGAUUCAAAUAGGGAAUUACUUGAAACUGACUAAAAACUGAUAUUUUUCUUAACGAUUAAAGAAACCGUAAUGAUUUGCUUCAAGUCUUGGUGAAUAAAAUAAUGCUUUGGAAACUGCAAAAAAAGAAUGCUAACUAAUAUAAAAGUUUUAUCAGUUUAUGGAGUACGUUUCUCAUUUAAAUUUCACUCAAAGCUACAAAUAAUCAAAUAAAUGAAUUCAUUACAAUCCUAGCUCACAACUGUAAACGAUAGUGUGAAAGUAAUAAAAAAGGAUUAUUGGAAACUAAGGUGUUAAGUUAUUCAAGAACAGAGAAUCGAUUGUUCAGCAUGUUCCUGUUUUGUGUAUCUUUACUACUGUUUGCUUCCAUAUCUUCGAAUGCCAACAGCGAUGAAGAAGUGGGUCCUAGAUUCAGAACUGAGCCGCCUUUUCGGAUAGAAUUUUCGAACAGCAGUGGUACAGAAAUUAGGUGCUCCGCAGAAGGCAUCCCAUCUCCUAGAAUCAGUUGGCAAAACAGAGAAGGAGCCAACGCAAGGGACUUAUCGGGUAUUAGAUAUACAAGAUCAGAUGGAACACUGGUGUUCCCUCCUUUCUCGCGCAGUGAUUAUAGGCAAGAUGUCCAUGACACUCUUUAUCAGUGCUUAGCUUCAAAUAGUGCUGGGGCUAUCAUCAGCCGAGAAACGCACGUCAGAGGAGUUGUUCAACAGAAGUUUGUGCCUCAAGUAUAUGAUGAUUUUGUUAUUAGAGGGAAUACGGCCGUACUUCGGUGUCAUUUACCAGCAUUUGUUAGGGAAUACGUGACUAUAGAUUCAUGGGUAAUUGACGAAGAUGUAGUUUUGAAAAGUACGGAUAUAGAAGAUGACAAGUACACUGUUCUGUCGACGGGAGAACUGAUCCUGCAUAAAGUGGAUGACGUCGAUGGAAAGAGAAAUUUCAAAUGUCGAGCGAGACAUCGACUCACGGGCGAAGUCGUGAUGAGCCCUUCAACAGGAAAAGUUAUUGUCACAGAGCCACAUUCACCAAUGGGACCUAGAGUAACUUUUAGCCAAUCACAGGUGAGAGCUGGUGAAGGAAGUUACGUGCGUAUACCGUGUGUAGCUACAGCUCAGCCAGCUCCAGAAUACAGAUGGCUGAAAGAAACACCAAAUGGCCUAUUUCCCGUUAUGGCAGAUCAAAGAACGAAAAUCACGUCUGGAACGUUGCAAAUAAGCAACGUGAGACUCUCCGAUGGCGGGAAGUACCAGUGCAUUAUCUCAAACGGUAUCGGUGACAGCAAAAGAACCGAUACAGUACUUAUUGUAACUGCACCGCUUCGUGUUACAAUCAUACCAGAGCACCAAACACUGAAUAUAGGUGAAACUGCUGUCUUGAACUGUUCGGUGAGUGGCCACCCAGUGCAUACAAUUGCAUGGCGGAAAGACCAGAGACACUUGGUUGCCAACUCGAGAGUCCAAUUGUUAACGAGAGAUGUUCUACACAUAACGUCUGUGAGGAGAGAAGAUAAAGGCAUGUAUCAGUGUUUCGCUUACAAUGACGUGGACGGAGCUCAAGGAACAGCACAAAUCAAAAUCGGAGAUGUACCCCCAUAUCUUUUGUCCGCUUUCCCGGACACAACCGUCCACGCUGGUGAGAGGGUCAGUUUGAAAUGCGUGUCAGCUGGCAACUUCGUUCCAAGAGUGAUAUGGACACUGUAUGACCACGAACUCAGCUCGUCUCAAAAUCCCAGGAUCAGAAUCGGAGAUUUUAUUUCAGCUCAGGGUCACGUGACCAGUUAUUUGAACAUAAGUGACACACGCGUGGAAGACAGUGGUGUGUAUCGUUGUGAUGUCAGCAAUGAUGUUGGAGCUGUGUGGCACGCUGCAAAACUCAACGUAUACGGCCCACCAUUUGUCAGACCUUUUCCAAAUGUAUCAGCCGUAUCAGAUCAAACCCUAGUUCUCAACUGCCCGGUUGGAGGAUAUCCAAUAAAGAGCAUUGUUUGGCAAAAAGGAGGAAUAAUUUUGCCUCUAGAUCACAGGCACAAGAUAAAUUCUGCUGGUGUUCUAGAAAUACAGGACGUCCAAAAAGCAGCGGAUGAGGGUGAAUACACUUGCAUAGCUAAAAGUCCAGAUGAUCUGACUGCAUCUGGUUCAACAUUUGUUUCUGUUUUAGUCGCACCUGUUAUAGACUCUCAGUAUUUUCCGGACACUAUAACAGCUAAUGAGGGGGAGAGAGCAAAAAUCAUCUGCAGCGUAACGAAAGGUGAUCCACCCAUUCGAUUCAAAUGGCUCCAAAAUGGUAAACCAUUUGUUCCAACCGGUAAAGUUACAGUCCAACUGCUGGAAGAUUCUUCCAUCAUUCAGUUUCGGAGAAUAAAAGCUAGUGACAGAGGUGCUUAUACUUGCAUUGCUACAAAUGCCGCUACAUCUACCAACAUUACAUCCCAGCUUGUUGUAAAUGUCCCCCCGACAUGGCUGUCGGAACCCAUGAAUACGUCAGCGGUGUUGGGCAGCAGCGCUUGGAUGAAUUGUUCUGCUGAAGGAUUUCCUACACCCAGCGUUAUCUGGAGAAAAGCUAGAGAGUCUUCACCGGGAGAUUUCGGUUACGUGACUUCCAGUCCAAGGAUCAGGCAAUACAAUAAUGGAUCUCUUGUUUUGUGGGAUGUUGAGUUGUCUGACAAAGGAUUUUAUUUAUGUCAAGCAAAUAACGGAAUCGGAGCUGCUCUGAGCAAAGUCAUUUUUCUAAAUAUUCAAGUUCCUCCUAAAUUUGAAGAGACGUACCAGAGUCGUGCAAUUAAAGAGGGUGACAAUACAAGCCUGAAAUGCACAGCACAGGGCAACACUCCAAUUGUGAUCACUUGGCAAAAGAACAAGACUCCCAUACCUGUGACUGUGAAGUCAAGAUAUUCUUUUCGAGAAAUAACAGACGAUAAUCGAGUGACUUCUGAAUUGGUGAUCGUUUCAUCUUCAAGAGAAGAGAGUGGAAUGUACGCAUGCGCAGCUGUUAAUGAAUUUGGCUAUGAUGAAUCUACAUUUCAGUUGGUAGUCCAAAGUGUACCAGACCCACCGACCAAUUUGACUGUCUCAAAUGUCACAAGUAGAACAGCAACUAUCCGGUGGGAUGUCCCUUUUAACGGUAACAGCCACAUAACAGGCAGCAGUGUACAGUACAAGAUGGCGGAGGAUAGCUGGAAGGGGCACACAUCUCAACUCAUAGUAUCUGGAUCAGAUAGUGUGGCCGUUUUGAGAGCUUUACAGCCUGUCACAACAUAUCAACUCAGAAUCAUCGCUGAAAAUUCCAUUGGAAAAAGCAAACCAAGCAGCAUUAUCAAUAUAACAACGCAAGUCGAAGCUCCAUCUGGACCAUCCAGAGAUCUGACUGUUCAUCCAACUGGAGAUCAAUCUUUGAAAGUUAGUUGGAAGCCCCCAAGAGAAGAUGCUCGCCAUGGUCAGAUACAAGGAUACCACGUGGGAUACAGAAUUUAUCAUACAAAUGAAAAAUUUCAAUACAAAACUGUGGAAGCGAACAAAGAAAAUGAACAGCACUCAACUUAUGUCACUGGUCUACAGCCUUUCACCAAAUAUGAAAUAAUUGUUAAGGCGUACAAUGUCGCUGGUGCUGGACCGCAGACAGAUAGUGUUGUUGGUACGACACUAGAAACUGCUCCACCUACUUCACCAAUCCUACAACUGAACGGUACAACUUUCAAUUCUAUAAAUAUUAAAUGGCAAAAGGAUUCAAAAGAUCGAUCUAGCAUUACAGAAUACACCCUUCAUUACAGACAUGAUGAUGGAAUAUGGCAGACAAAGAAACUGAGAAGCACAACCGAUAAAUACACUCUUGAAAAUGCUAAGUGUGGAACCAAGUAUCACAUGUACCUCACUGCAUCCAACAGCCUCGGGACAGGAGAGCCUAGUCGAUCUGUAACAACCAGAACCAAAGGAGCAGCCCCAAUGCCAGCACCUCAACAAUCUUUCAUAAGCCUGAAUUCCACGUUUGUUAUAUUGCACUUAGAUGGUUGGCAAAGUGGUGGAUGUCCAAUUUUGCACUUCAACAUCCAGUACAAAAGUAAAUACCAGACACAGUGGACUUUUGUACCAGACAGGAUACCUGCAAAUCGAGAACAGACUAUUCUGGGACAGCUGACACCAGACCGUGAAUAUUUGUUGAUGGUGACAGCACACAGUGAAGCUGGAGUGACGCAGGGCGAAUACAAAUUUCGAACUUUGCCUCUUCAUUUAGCCACAGACUCAACCUCUAUUCCUGCCUUAGUGAGGAGAGAAGCAGAACUGCCAUUUCAUCGGAACGUCACUCUCAUCAUCCCCGUCGUCGUCUCUUCACUCGUCCUCAUCAUUGUCAUCUUCACUGUGGUCGUCUGCCUUCGAAAGCAUACGCAUGAGAGGAGGGGACAACCUGAAUAUGAGUCCCAGAAGGUUGCGACGGACUCUUUGCUCAUGUCGGAGGUAUCCCAGAAGUCCCUGAGCGGUAAACAGUCUGUUAAUGGAUCACAUUAUUCAUCACCCACAAGGGGGCAGCACCAUUUCUCGAGUAGCAAAAGUGGCGAACAGAGAACGUUCAGAUGAAGGAAGUUUUGCUACUAUAAAAAGAGCUCCCCCAAGAUCAGGUUCUAUGACAUCAGCUUAUAAAACAGGUUUUUCAUAGGAUGCUUCACUAUUGAACCACGGAUUUCUAUUCAGCCCUUCAUGGAAAAAAGGGAUCUUGUAUGUGCUGAACAUUUAAAAAUCUAUCCAUAUUUUAUUCAAAUAUUGUAAAACACUUGUUCAAUCGUUGCGGGUAAUUUCUUUCCUCAAAUUGUUUUCCAUUACCUUGCCAUGCACAUGUGGUUAUUAUCUACUCACUUGUAAAUUAUCAUAUUUUUUUAAUUUCAAGAAGUUAUCAGUCUUAAAUAUAUUUCAUAUUCAUUGUUAAUAUCAAGAAAUAAAAUCGUUGACUCUGUAAAUUUGACAUUUGAGUGAGAUAUAAAUAAAAUAUUGUAAAACA
rnacentral:misc_RNA from 1 species